rnacentral:rRNA from 1 species
GUGCCAGCAGCCGCGGUAAUACGUAGGUGGCAAGCGUUGUCCGGAAUUAUUGGGCGUAAAGCGCGCGCAGGUGGUUUCUUAAGUCUGAUGUGAAAGCCCACGGCUCAACCGUGGAGGGUCAUUGGAAACUGGGGAACUUGAGUGCAGGAGAGAAGAGUGGAAUUCCACGUGUAGCGGUGAAAUGCGUAGAGAUGUGGAGGAACACCAGUGGCGAAGGCGACUCUUUGGCCUGUAACUGACACUGAGGCGCGAAAGCGUGGGGAGCAAACAGGAUUAGAUACCCUGGUAGUCCACGCCGUAAACGAUGAGUGCUAAGUGUUAGAGGGUUUCCGCCCUUUAGUGCUGCAGCAAACGCAUUAAGCACUCCGCCUGGGGAGUACGGCCGCAAGGCUGAAACUCAAAGGAAUUGACGG